UAAUAUAAUAAUAUGUUAUUGUAAUUAAUUCUCCUACGCGCUCGGCUCGGCGGCGACCGGCAGUCGUCGAGUGCUGAUUAGUGUAACGUGACACCGGUAUUAUCACGGAAUAUAAUAUUGCGCGAUUAUCGUAUAUAGGUAUUAUCCCAAAAUCCGAAUUCUGCGAUCCCGCAAGAAACGGAGAAAGUCGAAGAGAAAAACAAGUGUCGACAACGUAGUCACAACCGAUCACAGACUUGUCGGGCACUCGGGCAACCAACAGUCGGCGGACGCGCGAGUAUGAGACGGGUAGAACAUCUUCAUAACUCUAACCGUACAACACUACCGCACUAGCGCAUAACGCGACCGAAACAUAGAUAAAAGAUUAAACCGUACUGUCGUAGACCGUAGUGUCAAGACUUGUGAGCAGUGAACACUGAGGACAGAGCGUCUCAGCGUAACCUGUCGGACUGCCAAGUGCCAGAGUGGCGGAAUGCUGGAUUCGGAACUCUGAGCGUCGGAUGUCAACCAGCGCGCCACACUGACACAGUGGCACACCGCCCGUCAUCGACCUUAACGAGGCCAAUUAAGCCCCCCUCAAAAUAAAUUAAUAUAUAGAAAAAAACAGUUACACCAUCAUGCCGAGCCACCGCUGCUAACAUAUUCAGAAUUCACGGAUCGUUUUGACUGUCAGUAACCAUAAAACUGGUCUAGUGACGUGUUGAAACAAGUACAACCGUCAUACAUUUUGAGCUUGCGUUUCUGCCUUUCUAGUGUGUUGCCGUGUCGGAACCGCAAAAUUCAAUUGAUGGAACAAAACUUAUAUAUAUUACCUAUAUGAUUUAUGUUAACCUCCACAACAAAAUGUUUUAGUUUUUGAGUUUUUAUGAUAGAUUUUAUAAUUAGGUAUAUUAUUAAAACAAUAUCUGUUUUAAUUAACUUCUUUCCAAUAAUGACUUGUCCUUGAUAUUUUGUGAGUAUAUAAUAAACAUAGUCAGCAGCCAACAAAAUAAGAUGUUUUUAACUUUUAACAUUUAAAUACAGAGUGAUUAUUUUAUCAUCGGACACUCAUUAUUUCAAGAAGUGUAAAUGUUUUUGAAAAUAUUAUUUAGUCACUUGCAAUACACAUAUAUUACACAAAAAAAAUUUUUUUCACACUGAAAAUAAAAAAUUUAAAAUUUGUUUUAAAUUUGUUUGAAUUUAUUCAAAAUAGUCUAUUUGUGAAUCUGGUUAUAAGAACAUUUUUGACAGUAAAAACAUUUAUCUAAGUCAAGUAGUUUAUUUUUUAGAAUUUUUUUAAAUAUUAAUAUUUUUUUGAUUAAAUGAAUUUGGAACGUACCUAUAAUAACUUUUUUCAAAAUUUUUUUUUCGGAAAUUUGCUGACAUGAGUAUAUUUCUUAAAUUAUUGACUAAUUAUAUCAUUUUUGUCAUACCUAUGUUUAAGUAGGUAGCAUAAUUUUUUUUUUCGUCAGGUCUUUCUGUUACACCUUGUAUAUACAAGGUAAUAAUUAACCAAGUAUGCAACUACGCUUUUUCAUCCUUUAAUAAUGUAUUUAUUAAAAUUCUGAUUUUUGGAAUUUUUAAAUAUUUACCUAUAUUGAAACCAAGACUUAGAAAUUAGGCCUAUAAAAAAUUACUAUACCAAUAAUUAGUAUAGAAAUUUAAUAAUUUCUAUACCAUUCAAGCAGAUGGAUUUUAUUAUAAUUGUUGAUGCAUAGGUAUGCUUAAAUGAUAUUAUAUCUAAAUUGAAAUUUAAAUAAAUAAUUUCUACAUUUUUAACUUAUUAUGUAUUUAAUCCUUGGUUAUAGGUACAUGAAAAUUGAAAAUAUAUCAAAUGUAUGUAAUAGGUUAUAGCUAAUAUUUUACAUAAUCUAUAAAUAGUUUGUAUAAUUUUAUGUUUUUAAAUGUGAUGUGAUAAUGUAAUGUAAUAUAAUCAAAUGUAUUGUAAUCAUGUGCACUAUGCAGUUAAUAUACUCUGUUACUAAUAGUUUGUAAUAGACUAUGAACGCAAUUAGGCUGUCUAAAACAGUAUACCGGGAUGCAAAUAUAGGCUAUGACCCUUUUUAGUUAUAACUUAUAAGCCUAUAAUUUUAAAAUAAGUCAGACUUCCACUCCAUUUUCAGCAUGCUUAACUAAAUUGGUACAUUAAAAUUAAAAAAAGGUGGGUAAGAGGAUGUUGCUCUGCUGUACAGUAGGUUACAAGUGGGUCACUAUAAUGGAUGGUGUUAAAUUUGAAUAUAAUAUCAUUGUAUAAGAAAAACGAUUCUGAGCGAAAACGGUCAGUCAGCCUAUGAUAUUACCAAGUAUAUUUGAUGAUAUUAUUGGGAGUAAAGUAAUUUAUACAUAACAUAUUUACGUGGAGCCUUGUUUUAAAUUUUCAAUCCUAUAUAUAACCUUUAUAUAUAACCUAUUUACGUGGAGCCUUGUAUUCAAUUUUCAAUUCUUAGCUAUAAAAGUUGAACAUUUUAUAAAUUUUUUACUACAAAAUAAUCAUUAAAUUUUAAAUUUGAUAAAUUUUGUCAAAAUUUGAACUUUAAAUGCUUAUAAAAAAAAUUUGCCUAAGUAUUUGUAAUAUUUUUCAACUGCUGUUGUAACAAUAUAUCAGGAGCCUUGUAUUAAAUUUUCACGAUUUUUUAACCGACAAAUAAAAUUUUAUUGAUAUUUAUAGAAAAAAAAACUAAAAAAAUUGAAAACUGAUAAUGUUCGUAAACAGCUCAAAAAGUGUCAAAUUAUUUUCAAACUUUCAUCGUGUAUAGAAAAUACUAAUAUAAACAUUCAGUGAAAUUUUCAAGUAUCUAAACUCAUUCGUUUUUUUAAUUACAAUAAAAUUAGAAAAUCGUUAAAUGAGAAAUCGAGUGAAUAUAAAUUUCAAACGCUCAUAGAAAAUGUAGAAAUUUUUAUUUUGACAAAAAUUUUCGGGAUUUUUCUGUAUUUUGUCAAGAUUUGAACUUUAAAUGCUUAUAAAUAAAAACUGUGACUAAGGAUUUUUAAUAUUUUUCAAAUAUCAUUGUAACAAUAUAGUAGGAGCCUUGUAUUAAAUUUUCAAGCUUUUUUACCCAACAAAUAAAGUUUUAAAAUCUAUGGAAAAAAAUACUAAUAAAAUUGGAAACUGAAAAUGUUCCCAACAGUUCAAAACAAAUCAAAAUAUUUUUAUAAUGUUAUCGUGUAUAGAAAUUGCAAAUAUAAACAACCAGUGAAAAUUUCAUGUAUAUAAUAUACGUUCAUUUGUUUUAGAGUUACACCAAAAACCAAAAUCGAUUUUUUCAAAAAACAGAAUUUGCGUAAAAAUUCCCGUUUUCUUUAAUUUGUCUUUUGUUUUUCACUGUGCUUUUGAAAACUACUGGGAAAUUUUUGCUUUUGACCCCCCCCCCCCCAAGUACGAACUAGAUUUACUUUUCUAUCAGAAAAGAUACUGUUGAAGAAAAUCUAAACAUUUUUACUGUCCUAAAAGGUGAUGACAAACGCAAAAAUAAAAAAAAUUAAUAAAAAAAACACACAUCAUUGUAAAAUCAAUACAUUCAUCGCUCCGCUCAGAAUCUAAAAGGUUGUUCAGUAAAACAGAAAAGUUCUUAACGUGCGGUAAAAUAUUGAGUUGUUCGAAUGCGUAAAACACCAAAGAUUGUAAGGCUAUAACUUAAAAACAAAUGAUUGUCGGCAAUUAAAUUUUGCAACAACUUUAUUAUUAACUCGUGGUAAUACAUAGGAUUCUGAACAAAAAAAUUGAAAAAUUAGCGUGGGUGCUAAACUAGAUUUGUUCCCAAUAAAUUAUUAUAAUUAUAUGUAAGUACAUAGGUACAAGGUGAUUCAGUUUGCCUGAAACACUUAUUAUUUCAAAAAGUAUUAAUGUUUUUGAAAAUAUUUUCAAAUUGUUAAAAAAUUAUAUUUUUUUCCUUAUAUUCCUUUAAGUUUUUUACUUUCCUGAAUGACAACAUAGAGUUUUAAUUUCAUAUUCCAAAGCAGAAUAUUUUUCUUAGUAUUUUUAUACAUAAAAAUCGAAUUUAGGACUAGUAGUUUAAAAGUAUUUUAUGUUUAGACAAGCGGAGUAGUGCACAAAUAUUUUGCGGGGUAACCCUGUACCACUCCU